rnacentral:rRNA from 1 species
UACGUAGGGGGCAAGCGUUGUCCGGAAUCAUUGGGCGUAAAGCGCGUGUAGGCGGCUCGAUAAGUCUGCUGUGAAAGUUCAGGGCUCAACCCUGAAAUGCCGGUGGAAACUGUCGAGCUAGAGUCCGGAAGAGGCGAGUGGAAUUCCUGGUGUAGCGGUGAAAUGCGCAGAUAUCAGGAAGAACACCCGUGGCUAAGGCGGCUCUCUAGUACGGUAUUGACGCUGAGACGCGAAAGCGUGGGGAGCGAACAGG